UGGGGAAUUUUGGACAAUGGGCGAAAGCCUGAUCCAGCAAUGCCGCGUGUGUGAAGAAGGCCUUCGGGUUGUAAAGCACUUUUGUCCGGAAAGAAAUCCUUGGCUCUAAUACAGUCGGGGGAUGACGGUACCGGAAGAAUAAGCACCGGCUAACUACGUGCCAGCAGCCGCGGUAAUACGUAGGGUGCAAGCGUUAAUCGGAAUUACUGGGCGUAAAGCGUGCGCAGGCGGUUUGCUAAGACCGAUGUGAAAUCCCGGGCUCAACCUGGGAACUGCAUUGGUGACUGGCAGGCUAGAGUAUGGCAGAGGGGGGUAGAAUUCCACGCGUAGCAGUGAAAUGCGUAGAGAUGUGGAGGAAUACCGAUGGCGAAGGCAGCCCCCUGGGCCAAUACUGACGCUCAUGCACGAAAGCGUGGGGAGCAAACAGGAUUAGAUACCCUGGUAGUCCACGCCCUAAACGAUGUCAACUAGUUGUUGGGGGAUUCAUUUCCUUAGUAACGUAGCUAACGCGUGAAGUUGACCGCCUGGGGGAGUACGGUCGCAAGAUU
rnacentral:rRNA from 1 species